rnacentral:rRNA from 1 species
GGAGAGUUUGAUCCUGGCUCAGGACGAACGCUGGCGGCGUGCUUAACACAUGCAAGUCGAGCGGAAAGGCCCUUCGGGGUACUCGAGCGGCGAACGGGUGAGUAACACGUGAGUAACCUGCCCUUGACUCUGGGAUAAGCCUGGGAAACCGGGUCUAAUACCGGAUACGACCAUUUCUCGCAUGUGAUGGUGGUGGAAAGUUUUUUCGGUUGGGGAUGGGCUCGCGGCCUAUCAGCUUGUUGGUGGGGUGAUGGCCUACCAAGGCGACGACGGGUAGCCGGCCUGAGAGGGCGACCGGCCACACUGGGACUGAGACACGGCCCAGACUCCUACGAGAGGCAGCAGUGGGGAAUAUUGCGCAAUGGGCGGAAGCCUGACGCAGCGACGCCGCGUGGGGGAUGACGGCCUUCGGGUUGUAAACCUCUUUCAGCAGGGACGAAGUUGACGUGUACCUGUAGAAGAAGCGCCGGCUAACUACGUGCCAGCAGCCGCGGUAAUACGUAGGGCGCAAGCGUUGUCCGGAAUUAUUGGGCGUAAAGAGCUCGUAGGUGGCUUGUCGCGUCUGCCGUGAAAGCCCGUGGCUUAACUACGGGUCUGCGGUGGAUACGGGCAGGCUAGAGGCUGGUAGGGGCAAGCGGAAUUCCUGGUGUAGCGGUGAAAUGCGCAGAUAUCAGGAGGAACACCGGUGGCGAAGGCGGCUUGCUGGGCCAGUUCUGACGCUGAGGAGCGAAAGCGUGGGGAGCGAACAGGAUUAGAUACCCUGGUAGUCCACGCCGUAAACGUUGGGCGCUAGGUGUGGGGGUCUUCCACGAUCUCUGUGCCGUAGCUAACGCAUUAAGCGCCCCGCCUGGGGAGUACGGCCGCAAGGCUAAAACUCAAAGGAAUUGACGGGGGCCCGCACAAGCGGCGGAGCAUGUUGCUUAAUUCGACGCAACGCGAAGAACCUUACCAAGGUUUGACAUACACCGGAAA